rnacentral:rRNA from 1 species
CGGAUUCUGGCUCAGGAUGAACGCUAGCGGCAGGCUUAACACAUGCAAGUCGAGGGGCAUCGGGAGUAGCAAUACUGCCGGCGACCGGCGCAAGGGUGCGUAACGCGUGAGCAACAUGCCCGUAUCAGGGGGAUAAUCCAUGGAAACGUGGUCUAAUACCCCAUAGUAAUUAUGUAAGGCAUCUUAUAUAAUUUAAAGCUUUGGUGGAUACGGAUUGGCUCGCGUGACAUUAGCUGGAUGGUAAGGUAACGGCUUACCAUGGCUACGAUGUCUAGGGGUUCUGAGAGGAAGGUCCCCCACACUGGAACUGAGACACGGUCCAGACUCCUACGGGAGGCAGCAGUGAGGAAUAUUGGACAAUGGAUGGAAAUCUGAUCCAGCCAUGCCGCGUGCAAGGAAGACGGCCCUAUGGGUUGUAAACUGCUUUUGUAUGGGAGCAAUAAGGGCUACGUGUAGUCCGAUGAGAGUACCAUACGAAUAAGCACCGGCUAACUCCGUGCCAGCCGCGGC